CAAGACAUAGCUAUAAUACCAAAGCGCUCAGCUUACACCUGGGAGAUAUCUGCAACCACACAGAUUGUCUUGA
rnacentral:tRNA from 1 species